UACAGAGGGGGCGAGCGUUGUUCGGAAUUACUGGGCGUAAAGCGCGCGUAGGCGGCUUUGCAAGUCGGGUGUGAAAUCCCCAGGCUUAACCUGGGAACUGCAUUCGAGACUGCAUUGCUAGAGUAUGGGAGAGGGAAGUGGAAUUUCCGGUGUAGCGGUGAAAUGCGUAGAUAUCGGAAGGAACAUCAGUGGCGAAAGCGACUUCCUGGACCAAUACUGACGCUCAUGUGCGAAAGCGUGGGGAGCAAACAGG
rnacentral:rRNA from 1 species